rnacentral:rRNA from 1 species
UACGGAAGGCAGCAGGGGGAAUAUUGCACAAUGGGCGCAAGCCUGAUGCAGCCAUGCCGCGUGUAUGAAGAAGGCCUUCGGGUUGUAAAGUACUUUCAGUCGUGAGGAAGGUGUUAAGGUUAAUAACCUUAGCAAUUGACGUUAGCGACAGAAGAAGCACCGGCUAACUCCGUGCCAGCAGCCGCGGUAAUACGGAGGGUGCGAGCGUUAAUCGGAAUUACUGGGCGUAAAGGGCACGCAGGCGGUUAAUUAAGUUGGAUGUGAAAUCCCCGGGCUUAACCUGGGAAUGGCAUUCAAGACUGGUUAGCUAGAGUCUUGUAGAGGGGGUAGAAUUCCAUGUGUAGCGGUGAAAUGCGUAGAGAUGUGGAGGAAUACCGGUGGCGAAGGCGGCCCCUGGACAAAGACUGACGCUCAUGUGCGAAAGCGUGGGGAGCAAACAGGGAUAGAUACC